rnacentral:misc_RNA from 1 species
GAUGAAGAACGCAGUGAAAUGCGAUAAGUAAUGUGAAUUGCAGAAUUCAGUGAAUCAUCGAAUCUUUGAGCGCACCUUGCGCUCUUUGGUAUUCCGAAGAGCAUGCCUGUUUGAGUGUCAUGAAAAUAUCAACCUUGACUUGGGUUUUGUGCUCUAGUCUCGGCUUGGAAUUGGGUGCUUGCCGCUUUUACGAGCGGCUCACCUUAAAUGUAUUAGCUGGAUCUGUCUUUGAGACUUGGUUUGACUUGGCGUAAUAAGUAUUUCGCUAAGGACAUUCUUCGGAGUGGCCUCGUUUCUAGGACGCUUGUCCGCUUUCCAAUACAAGUUCCACCUCGUGGACAUGACUUUUUAUUAUCUGGCCUCAAAUCAGGUAGGACUACCCGCUGAACUUAAGCAUAUCAAUAAGCGGAGGA